rnacentral:rRNA from 1 species
CACGUAGGGUGCGAGCGUUGUCCGGAAUUAUUGGGCGUAAAGAGCUCGUAGGCGGUGUGUCGCGUCGGCCGUGAAAACCUGCAGCUUAACUGUGGGCUUGCGGUCGAUACGGGCAUCACUGGAGUUCGGCAGGGGAGACUGGAAUUCCUGGUGUAGCGGUGAAAUGCGCAGAUAUCUGGAGGAAUACCGGUGGCGAAGGCGGCAUCCUGGACCGACAUUGACGCUGAGGAGCGAAAGCUAGGGGAGCAAACGGG